AAGGCCGAGCAGAAGGUUUACCAGAACAUCUGGGCACUGUUUGACAGUAGGUUUGGAUGCGUCAAGUCGUGGGACGAUGCCUUCAGCAAGGUGUUAACGCUUAACUAUGCGCUUGUCGCUGGUCGAUUGGCAACCACAGUAAGGACCAUCAUCGCUGGACCUCAGAAAUUCCACUUGACCCGUCAUGAAUUCGACCUUCAGGGGUAUGGCAUCGCGUGCCCAAGUGGGUCGCCUUACAAGACUCUUUUCGAGGAACAAAUAAUAUGGCUGCUGUCAACCGGUCUGGUACAGAAGUUCACUAGAAUAGAACUCUUGAAGUUCAAGAGACCACGAGAGCCUAGCGAAGAGGUCAACGAAGCAUUUACCAUCCAGCAUCUGCAGGCUGGAUUCUAUCUUCUCGUUGUGGGUUACUUCAUUGCUGCUGGAACUUUCAUAGGCGAGAUACUCUGCAGACGGUAUCAGGAAAGUCUUCUAAAGAAGACCCAGACCAUAAAAAUGUACUUUUCCUGAGGUACUAAUUUUACCACUGCUGAUGUUUGUUCUUGUUAUUGUACGCAACUUGCACUUUGAGAAGAAUGUUCAAACUUGAUUUAGAUAAUCAGUGUCCUGCGCUGAAUGGGAUGAGACAUUGUGGUAGCCAAAAAAUGACCAAUAGCAAUUUUAUUAAUCUGUUAAUGGCAUUUUUGAGUGUAAUAUUCAAUGUACUAUUUUGGCAAUAUAAAUGUUAAGAUUACAAGGAAACUUCAAGAAAAUCUUACCUACA